AGCAAAAUGAAUUUUUAUAAGUGAACAUUAUGUUGAUUGCUAAUGUAAAUGGUCUUCAAAGUUCUCUGAUUGCU